CUCUCUCUCUCAGUGUAUUUUAAUGUAAAAGAACCUCCCCUCAUAUGGGGGAACGUCCUCUUUCUUUCUUUGUUAAAGUCAUGUAAUUUUCUGAUGUGUCAGUAGAGCUGCUGUCUGUCAGUGAAGACACUGAAUGAGACUCGAUCUGAGACUCUUCUGCUGGGAUUGAGUUCUUUUGAAGCUGGACUUUAGAGAAAUGAUGCUCAUCUUUGGACUGAUGCUGCUGCUGCUGCAAACUGCUGCAUGUCUGGAGUUUAACUGCAGUUUUGAUCAGUCUGGUCCCUGUUACACAGCUCUGGGACACAAACUCAAUCUGCUGAUGGUGCAGGAUGCUAGUGAAUAUGAUCUGAAGAUAAUAAAGAGAAUAAACAACAACACAGCAGAUGAUCCAGUUUGUAGAGUAAAGAAUGGCAGGAUGAGGAUGAGUGAAUGUGAUCUUUAUAAUAACAGACCUGAAGUGACAGUCAUUAAUGGGAUUCUGAUAAUAAACCGUGUGAUCAGAACAGAUUCAGGGAAUUACAGAUUAAAUCUCGAGAGCUCAGACGGCUCAGAAACAUCUAGAGAUCUUCAAGUGAUUGUUGAAGCUCCUAUUGGCUCAGUGGAAGUGUCAAUCAUCUGCUCCUCCAGUGGGGGGAUGAGGGUGUUCUGCUCCUCUGAGGGGGAUCAUCUCCUCCACAGCUGGACUCUGAAUGGAGAUCCACUGAUGGAUGGAAACAGCAGCAUUGAUCUGGAUGAGGGAACUGAUGGAGACAUCAGCUGCAGCGUGAAGAACCACGUCAGUCACGCACAGAAGACCAUUAGACUCAAACCCUGUCCUGCUCCUAUUGGCUCAGUGGAAGUGUCAAUCAUCUGCUCCUCCAGUGGGGUGAUGAGGGUGUUCUGCUCCUCUGAGGGGGAUCAGCUCCUCUACAGCUGGACUCUGAAUGGAGAUCCACUGAUGGAUGCAAACAGCAGCAUUGAUCUGGAUGAGAGAACUGAUGGAGACAUCAGCUGCAGUGUGAAGAACCACGUCAGUCACGCACUGAAGACCAUUAGACUCAAACCCUGUCCUGCUGAUGGUUCUGUUGGGUCUGUUAGGAGCUUUUCACAUCUACAUGAGACACACGUCAGGAAAGAAACAGGAAGAUCAGAAAGUGAGGAUGAGAAGAUUUAG
ensembl:lncRNA